UCCCAGGCUCAGGUUCUUACCCACUACACCACACUGGCAUUUUUGUCUGUGUGUGUAAAGUAGUAUGGCCAUGUCAACGUUUUACAAUCUGAUUCUGCCAAUUAGUUUCAUGUCCCUUCAGCUGAAAUCCUAUACACACUUUCUGAGAAGUAAAUAGAACCCAGUGUGACUCAUAUCUAAGUAGACAUGCAUAGAUGGCACUCCCAGUCAAGCUUUUUAAAAAUAAAAAUGUAUUUUAUGAAUGUAGAACAGGGGUGGACAAACUUCUUGACCCCAAAGGCUAAGGGAUCAAACAGCACAUAUGUGCAAACACACAUCCAUUCCAAGGAUCUUAAUACAGUUCAUUCUUUCCUCACAUCUACAGGGAAAGAGCAAUAUGGGUUAGGGUCACUGGCACAUUUGAGGAGAAGAAAGCUUUCUCUCAUCCCUCACCCCCAGCAAUUCUCAUACUGUUUGUUCCUUCCUCAGUGGUAGCAGUGGCCUGGAAGUUGUAUCAGCAUUGUUAAGGCAUGAGUGGAGAGACGGGAAACAGGAAGAGGAGAAGUAUAGAAGAAGGACACUUAAGGCUUGGUGGCCACAGAAUAGGUUCAUUACAUGUACAGACUAAGGAUUUCCAACAUGAGCCACCCAUCAGUCCAUUUUGCUGCGUAGCAGAUCGGCACAGCAGCUGGGGACAGCUGCCAGGACAAGCACAGCAUGCAGGGUGCAGUGUCGACAUAAGCAUUGCCUUCCUAGAUCAGGCCAAGGUCCAGCUGGUCUAACAUUCCAUUUCCAGCUGGCCACAAACCAGAUACAGGAAUUUGCCUAUGCCAAGUUGUACUGGGUUUUAUUUAUUUUAUUAAUGCUUUAAAAUUGUGUACUGCCCUAAAACUACACUUCUACCACUCUUUCUUUAGAACAGAAUAAAGCCAAAUGCAGAAUACAAUUCUGGGUCCUUCAAACAAAAGAACCCCCACAGCACAGUAAAACAAUGACCUCUUUAAAAGUUUCUUUGCCUGGUACUGAAGACAAAGCAAAUCUAGUGCUAGGUGAGCCUACCUUGGUAUGGAAUUCUGCAAAUCAGGGACUUCCACUGAGACAGUGUUCCAUUUGGUCAUCAUCUGCCUGCAUUUAGAUGGCAGGGUUCUCCUCCCAAGGAACUUCAAUAUAUAAGUAAGCUGGUAUAGGAAAAAGAACACUUUCAAGUACCUGAGUCCCAAGGCUCAAGCGAUUCACCAGCAUAUGGAAUUUUAGUAUGUGUUCGAGCACACGUGUGUGUGAACCAAACAUUUUCUAAUUUAAUGCCAAUGCAGGAAACCUUCAUGGCAGUCUUAGCAUCAGCACAUGUCUAUAGUAAGCAGCAGAAUAUUACUUGUCCCCAAUGCAUUUGUGUGUUUGAGCUCCAGAAAAUCUUGCUGUGAAGUACUAUCUCUUUUCAAGGUGUGUGUCAGUGAUAGAAAGGUGAAAAAUUGCAAAUGAGUGACUUCUAUUGUAGAAUUUUUAACACUUAUACAAGGAAACAAUUUGAUACAAAGUAAUUCCAGUUGCCAAUAACAUUGAGUCAUUUUGGUUUAUGUUUAGGUAGAAGAGUUCUAACAUGUCAGUGGAAAACACCCAAGAGCCAAGAUUGAUAAAUCACCAUCCUCAUAUUGAAAAGACACUCAGUUCAUUUUCAUUGAAUAUAUUCAUGUGGUAACAUUUCACAUUAGACCAAAUAUGGUCCAUCCUGUUCCUAAAGGAUCCACCUUGGUAUUUGUGAGAUGUACAUAAGCAUCACAUAAAGCCCACCAUCCUUACCAGUUAUUCUCACCCCAGUAAUCGGAAUCAAUGGCAUGAAGCUUCUCAUCGAUACCAUAGCUAAUAGCUGUGAUAAUAUCUUGCAUGAAUUUGUUUAAUCCCCUUUAGACAUUCAAACCCAUGGCCAUCAUUACAUUCUAUAUAUUAAUAAUACACUGUAUUUGCCUUUGUUUUUCCUGAAUCUAUUGCCAGACAAUUUCAGUGGGUGAUCCCAAGUUCAGGUACAGAGAUAUUGAACCUCAGGUCCAUGGACUACAUCCAGAAUGCCUGAGGCCCCACUCUGGCUUUCUGGGAUUUCUCAGAUUUCCACACCCCCUUCCUCUAGCUCCAUCCCUUUUCUCCCGACUAGCAGUUAUUUGGUGGUUCCAACUUCUGUGGAGUUUGUUUCUUAUUCUAAAAGGCAGAAAUACUUCUUCUAAGGCUUGAUAAAGUAGUAAGAGCUUUAAGUUAAAAUAUGUUAAGCAUUCUUGAUAUUUUUUGCCUUUCGUUGUGCCCCCUUUGGCUUUCAUCCCUCUGACUAUUAGAUGUGACCUUCAAAGCUUCUGAUCAGUUUUGACCUUCAGUGUACCUGUAACUUUUGCAAGGGUGAGGAAACAAGUUUGCUGGUCCAUCCCCAGGGCUGAUGAAUCCAGAUGAAUCUCUGAUAUCUCAUGAGUAGGUCCUGGUCACCACUUGGAACUAGGAGAUUGUCUAAGCCAUUGAUACGAUUGCUCCAAGUAUUCUUGACCUAAUUGUAGAACUGUGUUAUCUACUUAGUAGUCUUAGGAGCUGCGGGCAAUGAAAUGACUGCAUCAACAUUAAAGCACAAAUGACAGAGACGCUUGGAAUGAGCACAAACACAAAGAAGAAUCCAUGUGUGACCUUAUUCUGUAGUGAUGGCAGCAAAUCUGUCACCUUUCUGCCAUUGCAUCUGCUUAGUGUAGUCCAACAGAGCUCUUUCAGGUGGUUAAAGGUCUCUUGGGUACAGAGUUAAGAGCACAACUCCUCAAACCCUCAAAGGCCCAUUGGGAGCACCUUGCUAGAUAGUCUUGCAGAUAAAGUUGCUCAUAUUCAUUUUUCACUUGGAGACAUUAUUUUUACAGAAUCUGAGCCCAGUCCUCCAGAAAAGACUGGAAUUGCUUUAAAACCAUGCCUUUCACUUGGAUAAAUAGUCUAGAAGUAUACCAUAAUCAACAGCAUUGAAAGUCAUUGAGAGAUCCAGAAGAAUCAAGAGGAUUGUGUUCCCUCUAUUCCCUGGUGAAAAUAAUCAGCCAGGGUGAUAUAGACUGUUUCUGUCCCUCACCAGGUCUGAAACCUGAUUGUAAUCUAAAUAUUAGUUAUUAAUUUAUGCAAGAUAUUGCUAUUAUGUUUUCAUUGGUUUGUGCUUUUUCUAUUUUUUGGAUCCCCAUAUAUGAUAUUUAUAUUAUUUAUUUGUUUUAUCAUCUUUAUUUUGCCUUACUUAAUUUUAGUAGUUUUUACUUGCAGACUUUUAUUGUUUAUUGAUUUUUUUGCAACUGUGGAUUGUAUCAUGUUGUAUAUUAUGUUGUAUAUUUUGUUGUACAUAAGGGAUUUUAUUGCAUUGUAAGCCAUCCAGGGAGCCUAUGGCUUAUGGGGCGGCAUAUAAAUUGAAUAAAUGAAUAAUUAAUAAAUAAUCAGUAUAAGAAUUGUGCCUUAAGUUCCUGUUUUCUCCCCUAAAUUAAAAAGCCCAAUAAAUUGUUUUCUUUUC